CCUACGGGUGGCAGCAGUAGGGAAUCUUUCACAAUGGGCGAAAGCCUGAUGGAGCAACGCCGCGUGCAGGAUGAAGGCCUUCGGGUUGUAAACUGCUUUUAUAAGCGAGAAAUAUGAUGGUAACUUAUGAAUAAGGAUCGGCUAACUACGUGCCAGCAGCCGCGGUCAUACGUAGGAUCCGAGCAUUAUCCGGAGUGACUGGGUGUAAAGAGUUGCGUAGGUGGCAUAAUAAGUAGCUAGUGAAAUCUGGUGGCUCAACCAUUCAGACUAUUAGCUAAACUGUUAAGCUCGAGACCGUUAGGGGUAACUGGAAUGUGUAGUGUAGGAGUGAAAUCCGGAGAUAUUAGAAGGAACACCAAUAGCGUAGGCAGGUUGCUGGGACGGUUCUGACACUAAGGCACGAAAGCGUAGGGAGCAAACGGGAUUAGAUACCCCUGUAGUC
rnacentral:rRNA from 1 species